AAGAAUUUGCCAUUUAAUUAUAUUGAGUAGAGAAAUUUCAUUAUGUUUAAAGCCUUGAGAAUGAUUUUUUUAAAAAAAAAUUUCCAGUAGAAAAUGGAUGUGACUUAAGUAGUGAAGAGGAACCAGAUUAUGAGCGCAAAGUUCCCUUGUGCUGCCAAACAUAUAAAAGUUGGGAAACACGCGAGCGAAGGAACACGCGGACAGGUACUACAAAUGCGGAGGAGAUGGAUAUAAGAUGGGUAUAUAACAAACAAAACCGACGAGGUUGACACUUCCAACUCUGCCGAUCACAGCAAAAUCGCAGAGCUAGUGUUGCACAGGCUAAGAAACGAACGAGAUUGGUUGAGGGAAUUAAAUAUAAGAUAGGUAUAUAUCUUUACUACAAAAUCAGAUUGCCCUCGGCGGAGGAGAUGGAUAGAAGAUGGGUAUAUGACAAACAAAACCGAUGAGGUUGGCACUUCAAACUCUGCCGAUCACAGGAAAAUCGGAGAGCUAGUUUUGCACAGGCAAAGAAACGAACGAGACACAGUAAUGCUCAUUGGGAAGAAAGAUGUUCCAAAUCAUGCUGCCUAGAAGCGGCCGAACAAAAGGAGUAAGCAGGAGGGGUUGGACCAAAAGGUGAAUGAGGCUUUUCGCUCCUCUCCUUCUUUAGUCGGAAGUUGGUACCAGGCCGGGAAAACAGUUCCAGGCCUUAAGAGCUUAAGAGGAGAUCGAAUUCUCCCCGGAACUGGAAGAUCAUUACCAGCGGAUAUGCUUUUUUUUUCCCACAGGUAGCCAAGGAUUCCGAGUCCCGAUACCCUUUGAAAGUACCUCUUGAUACCAAUCCGGGGUCUGUCUCUCUUAAACCAACCAACUCUCUAGGGAAAAAAUCGUCUGGCUUAAGGGCAUGAGUUUACGAUUACUUCGGAUACCUCUUCUCAUAGCACCAAAGCUCUAAAUUCCUGUCUCAGAGGCCGCUAUAGAGCUCUGGGAAAGCUCUUUAGCAUAGGCCUCGACUGUUUUAACAGCCACCGCGCCAGCCACAAGAAAGCCUGGCCACGCG
rnacentral:lncRNA from 1 species